GGGAGAGCCCAGCCUCCGACCCUCCCCGGCCAGCCCGGGCCGCGCAGCGGGGGGCGGGGGCGGUGCCUGCUGCCCGCCCCCUCGGCGCUGCCGGGCGCAUACAGAUGCGGUGCCCCUCCCGGGCCGGGCCCGCAGCGCCUGGAGGGGCACUCGGGCGGGAGGGCUUCUAGGCCACGGCGCCAGGCCGUUUCCGAAGAGCUAGAGGAGAAGGCGCACCCGGGAGCGCGAAGCGGCCCGCACGCCCCCCGCAGCCGGGCGAAGGGCGAGCGCACGCUUCAGAGGGACGGUCCACCAAGAGGCCUCGGUGAUAAUCCAGCUGCGGGUAGAGGAGGGACAAGGACAGUCAGGAUGAAGAUGACAUCACUCCCACCAAAGGAGCCCAGGUGGGGGCAAGGCCACCUCUACUGAGACCUGGGGAGGUACAGGCGCUUCUGCUUCAGGCUCCUUCUCUUCUUCCUCCUCUUCCCUCUGCCCAUUCUCCUGGCCCUCGGAAGGCACCACCUGUAAGAGCCCAUGAGACGCGACUACUGAGCCCACGUGCCACAAC